rnacentral:rRNA from 1 species
AUUGAACGCUGGCGGCAGGCCUAACACAUGCAAGUCGAGCGGCAGCGACUUAACUGAACCUUCGGGGAACGUUAAGGGCGGCGAGCGGCGGACGGGUGAGUAAUGCCUGGGAAUAUGCCCUGAUGUGGGGGAUAACUAUUGGAAACGAUAGCUAAUACCGCAUAAUCUCUUCGGAGCAAAGAGGGGGACCUUCGGGCCUCUCGCGUCAGGAUUAGCCCAGGUGGGAUUAGCUUGUUGGUGAGGUAAUGGCUCACCAAGGCAACGAUCCCUAGCUGGUCUGAGAGGAUGAUCAGCCACACUGGAACUGAGACACGGUCCAGACUCCUACGGGAGGCAGCAGUGGGGAAUAUUGCACAAUGGGGGAAACCCUGAUGCAGCCAUGCCGCGUGUGUGAAGAAGGCCUUCGGGUUGUAAAGCACUUUCAGUAGGGAGGAAGGUAGUGUAGUUAACACCUGCAUUAUUUGACGUUACCUACAGAAGAAGCACCGGCUAACUCCGUGCCAGCAGCCGCGGUAAUACGGAGGGUGCGAGCGUUAAUCGGAAUUACUGGGCGUAAAGCGCAUGCAGGCGGCCUGUUAAGUCAGAUGUGAAAGCCCGGGGCUUAACCUCGGAAUUGCAUUUGAAACUGGCAGGCUAGAGUCUUGUAGAGGGGGGUAGAAUUUCAGGUGUAGCGGUGAAAUGCGUAGAGAUCUGAAGGAAUACCAGUGGCGAAACGGCCCCCUGGACAAAGACUGACGCUCAGAUGCGAAAGCGUGGGGAGCAAACAGG